CUACGGGAGGCAGCAGUGGGGAAUAUUGGACAAUGGGCGCAAGCCUGAUCCAGCAAUGCCGCGUGAGUGAUGAAGGCCUUAGGGUUGUAAAGCG
rnacentral:rRNA from 1 species